UACGAAGGGGGCUAGCGUUGUUCGGAAUUACUGGGCGUAAAGGGCGCGUAGGCGGCCUCGUCCGUCCGGCGUGAAAUGCCUGGGCUCAACCUAGGAAUUGCGCUCGAUACAGCGAGGCUAGAGUGUGGGAGAGGUUGGUGGAAUUCCCAGUGUAGAGGUGAAAUUCGUAGAUAUUGGGAAGAACACCGGUGGCGAAGGCGGCCAACUGGACCACAAC
rnacentral:rRNA from 1 species